rnacentral:misc_RNA from 1 species
GAUUGAAGAACGCAGCGAAAUGCGAUAAGUAAUGUGAAUUGCAGAAUUCAGUGAAUCAUCGAAUCUUUGAACGCACAUUGCGCCCGCCAGCAUUCUGGCGGGCAUGCCUGUUCGAGCGUCAUUUCAACCCUCGACUUCCCUUUGGGGAAAUCGGCCGUUGGAGACGGCGAGCCUUCGUGCUCGCCCCUCCCAAAUUCAGUGGCGGCCCGUCCGCGGCGACCUCUGCGUAGUACUUACACCUCGCACCGGAACCCCGACGUGGCCACGCCGUAAAACAACCCAAUUCUGAACGUUGACCUCGGAUCAGGUAGGAAUACCCGCUGAACUUAAGCAUAUCAAUAAGCGGAGGA